CCUAUGAGUGGCAGCAGUGGGGGAUAUUGCACAAUGGGGGGAACCCUGAUGCAGCGACGCCGCGUGGGAAGACGGUCCUCUGGAUUGUAAACCACUGUCCCCAGGGACGAAAAUGACGGUACCUGGGGAGGACGCUCCGGCUAACUACGUGCCAGCAGCCGCGGUCAUACGUAGGGAGCGAGCGUUGUCCGGAAUUACUGGGUGUAAAGGGAGCGUAGGCGGGGAUGCAAGUUGGGUGUCAAAACUACCGGCUCAACUGGUAGUCGCAGUCAAAACGGCAGCUCUUGAGUGAAGUAGAGGCAGGCGGAAUUCCUAGUGUAGCGGUGAAAUGCGUAGAUAUUAGGAGGAACACCAGUGGCGAAGGCGGCCUGCUGGGCUUUUACUGACGCUGAGGCUCGAAAGUGUGGGGAGCAAACAGGAUUAGAUACCCCUGUAGUC
rnacentral:rRNA from 1 species